rnacentral:rRNA from 1 species
GACGAACGCUGGCGGCGUGCUUAACACAUGCCAGUCGAACGGUGAAGGGACCGGUUUUUGCUGGUUCUGGAUGAGUGGCGAACGGGUGAGUAACACGUGAGUAACCUGCCCCCUUCUUCUGGAUAACCGCAUGAAAGUGUGGCUAAUACGGGAUAUUCUGCGCCUGCUGCAUGGUGGGUGUGGGAAAGAUAUUGUUUCGGUGGGGGAUGGGCUCGCGGCCUAUCAGCUUGUUGGUGGGGUGAUGGCCUACCAAGGCGGUGACGGGUAGCCGGCCUGAGAGGGUGGACGGUCACGCUGGGACUGAGACACGGCCCAGACUCCUACGGGAGGCAGCAGUGGGGAAUAUUGCACAAUGGGCGAAAGCCUGAUGCAGCGACGCCGCGUGAGGGAUGGAGGCCUUCGGGUUGUAAACCUCUUUCGCCAGUGAAGCAGGCCUGUCCCUUUUGUGGGUGGGUUGACGGUAGCUGGAUAAGAAGCGCCGGCUAACUACGUG